GUACUGGAUAGCUCAGUUGGUAGAGGAUGAGACUCUUAAUCUCAGGGUUGUGAGUUUGAGUCCGAUAUUGGGCA